AAUGUCGCUCAUUGGAUACAUUCUGUAACAAUAUAAAACCUUCAGUGAAUUGGAUCUUCUUCAGUGCUUACGUCUAUAACAUAGUCACCGGUUUCGUGAACUUCAGCUUCAUAGUCGGCAGCACUGUACAAAUCUCCUUUCUGCAUUAAACCGGCUUGUUCUUCAUGAGAAUUCAAUAACUCAGAAAUAGUUUUUAGGAGAUUUUCUAUCGCUUCGUUUACUAGAGAACCAAAGCUACCAUCCACUUUCCUUUCACUUAGACUAUCAAGGCAAGAUAGUAAAACGCCUUUCUCAAAAAUGGCAGACGUUUCUAAGUCGGAUUCACUUAGUGAGCUAAGCUGAAGUUUGAAAAGCUCCAAAAAGGAAGCGUAAAACUCUGGUUCAGUUUCCGCCAAUUCAUAAGACUGCAAUAGCAAACUCAACAUAUUCUUCCAAUGCUCCAAAGCACCAUAGUGGGAGAGAAUAGAGUAGCUCAGAAAGGAAAUUGAUAAUUCCGCUAAUGCAGAGAUGGGAUUGUCAUUCCACACGCUUUGGACGAGUCUUUGAAACAAAAACGAUUUAUCAAUUGCUUGCUUAGACCGUUCAGGUCCAGUGGCAGACGGCGACCAGCUUCGUCGUAAAUUGAAUUCAGCGAAAUUUAAUAGUUUAUCGUCUCGAGAGGGUUUUGAGAAUUCCGGAUCUUGUGACACAAGAUCAGCGUUGACAUACGUUGAAGUGUCUAAGUAGAAAAAUUCACCUUCAGUAGCAAAAAUUCUUUGAAGAUCUUGAACUGUAAUGAACUUCGUCAACAAGUCCCAAUCCUUUGUUGAUUCAAAGGGAUAAAAGUUUUCGUCAUAUAAUACAUCAAGCUUCUGCAAAGAAGCUGUUUCAGAUUUCGAAUCAAAGUCGAUACUAUAUUUCAUAUCUUCAUGGACCAUAGCAAAAACUCCAGAAAUUAAUCCAGCAGGGUAUGUUGGAGACCAAGUGAAAAGAUGAAUUCCACCUUUUACAUUUCGAAUACCUGGAAGCUUACUAGCUUCAUAUGAACUCUGAUCAAUGCCAACGUAAUAUGUAUUUAACCAUCCGACAAACUCUAUACUCAUUAUAUACAAAACAAAUUAUUCCAUAUCUUCAUUUAUUUUGUCUAUUAAGUUGAAUUUAAGAUCGUAGACAUUGGUCAAAGCUAAGUUUCAGGCUACUGAUUUAAGAGUUAUAGCGAUGGAUAUUAUAAAAAACACCAUAAUACAUUAAAGGUUUUUGGGUGUCAGCAAUUCUACACUACGCUAUAAUAUACAUCGUUUCGUAUCACUAAAUAUCGCCUGC